UGUCGGUAACUGUAGCAAUCUUUGUGUCCUCAGAUUGCUUAUUAUCCCAGUUGCACUCUGAUUAGUUUAGCUUGGUGCACUUCCUGUUCUUAUACUUUUGAUGACCUGCCUUGAUUCCACGAAUUGCCCAUGUUUUCUUUUCUCCUUGAAAUGUUAUUUGUCGUACUUCUAUUGCAGCUUGCACUAUGUCAAAUCGAAAACUAAGUGUACUAACAGUAGGAGGUCUAAAAAUCAGUUCACUCAUUUGGCCUUCCAGUGAUACAGAACUUUUGGUGGCACCAACGCCUUGGACUAUGCCUGGUAGACCUAAAGAGAAAAGGAUAACAGAAGAAGGAGAAUCUGAAAAUGGAUUCGACGCGUCGAGACAAGGCACAGAAAUUACAGGCAAAUUUGUGCUUCAAGCAAGUGCACAACUCAAAAAUUGUCCGUUGAAACAAAAGAAAAUUGAUUAACAGAUAGUCAGACAAAGGGAAACCAAUCCACUUGUCACAGAGAGGCAUCCUAAUAAUGCCACCACUCAAAAGCCUGGAUGGGCAGGCACUCGAGUCAUUUAUCUACUGAGAGAUAUCAACAAUGUUGUGGUCAAUGCUAUGAAGGUGGAUUGCGCAUCUCACAUAUUUAUCACUUCAGUGCGAUUAGAGGAUCAGCUUUAUGGUAGUAAACGAGUUGUUAUGUAAAGAUUUGAAAAUA